rnacentral:rRNA from 1 species
AAUCAACGCUGGCGGCGUGCCUAACACAUGCAAGUCGAACGCGAAAGCCCGCAAGGGUAAGUAGAGUGGCGCACGGGUGAGUAACACGUGGACAACCUGCCUUCGAGUGGGGAAUAACCUUCCGAAGGAGGGCUAAUACCGCAUAACACCUCGGGACACAAGUUCUGGGGUUGGAAAAGAGCAAUUUGCUCGAAGAGGGGUCCGCGCCUGAUUAGCUAGUUGGUGAGGUAACGGCUCACCAAGGCUUCGAUCAGUAGCCGUCCUGAGAGGGAGCACGGCCACACUGGAACUGAGACACGGUCCAGACUCCUACGGGAGGCAGCAGUGGGGAAUUUUGGCAAUGGGCGAAAGCCUGACCAAGCAACGCCGCGUGGGUGAUGAGUAUCUUGGUACGUAAAACCCUUUCGGCAGGACGAACUAAUGACGGUACCUGCGGAAGAAGCCCCGGCUAACUCCGUGCCACGCCGCCG